UGUAGGUGUCAUGUGUUGUUUUACGGAGUAAACACAAAAAAACAAAUUGAAGAAAAGAAAAAAAAAUGGAAAAAUAAGUAAAUUAAAUGUUGUGCAAAACGAAUAAAACAUAAAUUAAAGGAACGAAACACAAGUAAUUAACAAAACGCAAAACAUUAAGCAAUUAUUGAUGAACUGGGCCUAUUGGAUAAAUACACAUAUGUAUGCAUACAAAGGUGAACACAUAAAUUGAAUUUCAAAUAUGUAUAAAUUGUUGCAGACUCUAUAAUAAAACAAGAGAAUCUUGAAAAUGAGUUAUCAAA